UGAAUGAAGCAAACCAGAUCCCUGCCUUUAGCACAGGACAUAACCAGGUAAGUGAAACCUAAGCGCAGAACUACAAAAUCUACCAAGUGCCGAGAGGAAUUGCAUUGGGUCCUGCUAAAUGAAGGGCAGAACUUCAGAGAUGAGACAAACAGCCACAAAAAGAGAUAACACAAAAAUCCUUCAAGGACAAUGAUUUAGAAAAAGACCCUUAUUGUGGAAUUAGCCUGGCGUGUUUUAGAAAUGGAAAAGGUUUAGGUAAGGGGCAAUCAUGCAGGACCCUAGUAGAAUGGUAAGGAAUUUAGCUUUAGUCCACAUAGAUUUGGAAGUCAAUGUAUGGUUUUCCAGAAUGACAUUAGUGAUUUCUGUUCUUAAAGAUGUUGCUGCCUGCUGGCUGGUGACUGGACCAGGGAAAUUCACAAUGGAAUGGAGCAUCAGGGGAAUCCUCAAGACACUUGAAUAAAAGACAAUGAUCAUUUAGCAUUGGCCGUGACCUUGGACAGAUGCAGACAGAAUCUGAGAUGGCUCCCCAAGUCAUGGUCACAAGUGCCUCUUUGUAGGCAAAAGCAUUAUAAGAUACAUAGCUUAAAAACAAGUUUAAAUUGUCCCAAUGUGUGGAAAUCUACCAGGUGCUUUUUUCAUAAAAGCUACUGGUCAAUUAAUUUGUCAAGUGCUUUUCAGUUCAUAAUAUUGUCUACAUGCUUGUUUAGAUUGAGAUGUCAAAGAGUCAACUACUUGUAAAGGAAAACUAAGAUGGGUAAAUGGUACUGUUGCGCAGACUCUAGACAAUUCUGCAUUGUUCCCACCUGAGAUGGAAUUUGAAAUUGAGUAGAAUUGGGAACAGGAAAUAGAGAGUUGGUGAUGGGGGAGGACCAGCGAGGUGUUUCCCACUGCAGCUGUCUGGUGAAGCAACGGACAAGAGUCACCUUGUCCCUCAGCUCCCCAUCUAGAGGUUACAGUAGGAAAUACUUUACUUGUUCGGUUGGAAACUAUCACACUGCUUUGAGA